rnacentral:lncRNA from 1 species
CAGAGACUUGGAGGGAAAAAAAACAUGGCGGACAGUAUGAAAAGUUGGCAGAAACUGUCUAGACCAGAGUGGCUUCAUUAACCAAGAGAAACGACAACAGAGCGACGUGCAACGUUUGCGGAGCAGUGAUAACACGCAAAGGUGGAAACACCAGCAAAACACGCUUAAACAUUUGUCGACGGGGCACGGCAUCAAAUAUAAGGAGUCACGUGAAUUCGACGCGCUCCGCCGGUCGUCAUGGAAGGUAAGUAUAUCCUGUGUCAAGGUAAGCACAAUGCGUACCAGAUUUGACAACUUCCUCUUUUACCUGUACAUGCUCUCUUUUUUGAAGCUGUCCGGCCUGUCCGGGGGAGUUUAUAAAAUCCUUAAAAUGUCCGCGGUUUUGUCUGGAAGUUUAAAGUUUGUAUAGCGUGGAUUAACUGAGUUAGAAGCGCGUAAAAAACACUCGAACCGACCCGAAAAACCCUCAGAAUUUAGCGCGCGACUCCUCCCCGCGUAAUGGUGUCCUCUUUUGGGGGAUCCAGAAUAUGGUCACCCUAAUUUGACUUAAUACCGACCCAAGUAGAUGCUGUACAAACAGUACAGUACAGUUUGUUUCAUCAGAGACCCAAUAAAAUUCUGAGUUAACAGUGAAAACCUAUAGUCUGCUUUUUUAAAGUCAAAGAAAGCCAUUGAUAAGGGAAUCAUUAAAGAAUUGAAUCGAUAAGCAGAAUCGAUAAUGCACUCAGUAUCGCAUGGACUACAAAGUUUAUUGUAUCCUAUCAUAUGUAUCCCAGCAGUUAAUGCUUGAUUUGCAUGCAUCACAUUUGUUGAUUUUCCUUGUUUUCUGUAAGAUAAGAUGAAACAGAUACUACCUUGGUGCUGCAGAUGUUAAUGUGAGGAUGAUAUGUGACCUUUAGCAGCACAAACCAAUUUUAGACUAAGAUUUAUCUCCACUCUGUGCUUACCAUCUUCAUUUUAGGUUAAGUACACACAAAAAAGGCUAUUCUUGUUCAUCGUUCACAAGGUCUUCGUUUUACAGGAACUGUUCUAUCAAAUGUAGGUGUGCAAUGCGUGUGUGUUUGUACGUGAAAGAGAACGCCUGCAUUAAUGAUAAGCAGAGCAACCAUACUGUAAGUUUAGUGUCAUUACCAUGGAGACUAAUCCAAGCUGUUUCCAUUAAUAAACUUUUCUCUCUCAGCUUCUGUAGACUCUGGAGGAGGGCUGAACGGGAACUUGAGGUGUGAGAAAGAGAUCUAAAUAUAGAGUGACUUCAGAUCCAGACACUGCUGAUCAGAGGAGCUCUUACUCCCUCCUUCAAUGGUUGCAUUUGUGAAACGAUGUGGUCAAUCUGCUGGUUACCGCAGGCACUCAACUUUUUAUUGAGAUGAGCUUUUUUCCUGUUUUUGUUUUUAGUUGUGCAUGAGUGGGUUUGCAUGGAGAACAUGGACAAUUAAGCAGUGUUUCAUUUCAAGCUAAAUUUAGCCUCAUAUAAAAAAAAGUCUUCUGUGGAAAAGUGUUACAAGCUUACGCAAGUGGGAAUGACAUCAGUGUGAGCAAAAUGCUAUGGGAAAAAAUAAUAACAUUAUUAGUAAUAAGGAAGUUGAGAACAUGUUUUGUACCCCUUGAGGAUCAAAGGCACAAGCAUCUCGUAUCACCAAAAACAUUUCACAUAAUGUAUUUCAUUAAACAUGAAAAAAUGAAUAAAGGUGUACAAAAAAAGCAUUAUGUGAGGUGGUGGACAAACAACAG